GGGAUACCCGCUCGAAAGGGCGGCUAAGACCGCAUGGGCUCAGCGCUUCGGUGUGGUGAGCAAAGCCAUCGUGAGGUGGCGCCUGGGGAGGGGCCCGCGCCCGAUUAGCUGGUUGGUGGGGUGACGGCCUACCAAGGCGACGAUCGGUGGCUGGUCUGAGAGGACGGUCAGCCAGACUGGGACUGAGAGACGGCCCAGACUCCUACGGGAGGCAGCAGUUAGGAAUUUUGGGCAAUGGGCGCAAGCCUGACCCAGCAACGCCGCGUGGGGGACGACGGCCUUCGGGUUGUAAACCCCUUUUCCGGGGGACGAUAGUGACGGUACCUCGGGAAGAAGCCCCGGCUAACUACGUGCCAGCAGCCGCGGUAAUACGUAGGGGGCCAGCGUUGUCCGGAUUCAUUGGGCGUAAAGCGCGCGCAGGCGGCCCGCGGCGUCGCUCGUGAAAGCCCCCGGCUCAACCGGGGGGGACGGGCGAAACGGGUGGGCUGGAGGCCGGUAGGGGGGAGCGGAAUUCCCGGUGUAGCGGUGGAAUGCGUAGAGAUCGGGAGGAACACCAGUGGCGAAGGCGGCUCCCUGGGCCGGGCCUGACGCUGAGGCGCGAAAGCGUGGGGAGCGAUCCGGAUUAGAUACCCGGGUAGUCCACGCCCUAAACGGUGCGGACUAGGUGUCGGGGGUAUCGACCCCCCCGGUGCCGGAGCUAACGCACUAAGUCCGCCGCCUGGGGACUACGGCCGCAAGGCUAAAACUCAAAGGAAUUGACGG
rnacentral:rRNA from 1 species